rnacentral:sRNA from 1 species
AUUAUUCCAAUUAAGAUCACUAUUCGAAGUUGGAAUCGCUACCUGCUCACUCGUCCCCAUUAAAUGCAAUGGACAUCAUAAUGGUCUAGGUAAU